rnacentral:lncRNA from 1 species
GUGGACACCCUCCCUAAACACCUAAUUGGAGCCUUAUCCGGAUAAAUUAGUGGAUGUGUGGUCCAGCUCCAAUGGUUAAAGAUCACGGUCUGAUCCAAUAGCGUGGUCGGAGAGAAGACAGAGCCAGGAAAACAGGGGAUUAAGUCUCGAGUAAUAUGGUUUCCAGCGCAGCUAAUGCAGACAUGAAAAUUAAGACCCACGAUUUGGGAUAAUGUAAAAUAAGAAUUAGCGGUGCAUGAAUAGGCCCAUCCAUGUU